rnacentral:rRNA from 1 species
UACAGGGGGGGCAAGCGUUGUUCGGAAUUACUGGGCGUAAAGGGUCAGUAGGCGGCCAACUAAGUCCGACGUGAAAUCCCAAAGCUUAACUUUGGAACUGCGUCGGAUACUGGAUGGCUUGAAUUCGGGAGAGGGAUGCAGAAUUCCAGGUGUAGCGGUGAAAUGCGUAGAUAUCUGGAGGAAUACCGGUGGCGAAGGCGGCAUCCCGGACCGACAUUGACGCUGAACGACGAAAGCUAGGGGAGCAAACGGG